AUUGAACGCUGGCGGCAUGCUUCACACAUGCAAGUCGAACGGCAGCACGGACUUCGGUCUGGUGGCGAGUGGCGAACGGGUGAGUAAUACAUCGGAACGUACCCAGUAAUGGGGGAUAACUAUCCGAAAGGAUAGCUAAUACCGCAUACGCCCUACGGGGGAAAGAGGGGGAUCGCAAGACCUCUUGUUAUUGGAGCGGCCGAUGGCUGAUUAGCUAGUUGGUAGGGUAAAGGCCUACCAAGGCAACGAUCAGUAGCGGGUCUUAGAGGACGAUCCGCCACACUGGAACUGAGACACGGUCCAGACUCCUACGGGGGGCAGCAGUGGGGAAUCUUGGACAAUGGGCGCAAGCCUGAUCCAGCAAUGCCGCGUGCGUGAAGAAGGCCUUCGGGUUGUAAAGCGCUUUUGUCAGGGAGCAAAUCCUUGUGGCUAAUACCCACCGGGGAUGAGAGUACCUGAAGAAUAAGGACCGGCUAACUACGUGCCAGCCGCCGCCGUAUAC
rnacentral:rRNA from 1 species